UGGAGAGGAAGGAGAGAGAGAGGAAGGAGAGAGAGAGGGAGGAGAGGAAGGAGAGAGUGUGGAGAGGAGGGAGAGAGAGGGAGGAGAGGAAGGAGAGAGUGUGGAGAGGAGGGAGAAGUGUUGUUCAUACACCAGUAUGUCUCAGGAGGCAGGCCUGAGGAGUGCUUUAAGGAUUCUGUCAACAGGUCUUCUAGUACUGCCCUCUGCUCAGACUGUCAGUCUUCCUGCCAGUACUGUCCCCUGCUCAGACUGUCAGUCUCCCUGCCAGUACUGUCCCCUGCUCAGACUGUCAGUCUGCCUGCCAGUACUGUCCCCUGCUCAGACCAUCAGUCUGCCUGCCAGUACUGUCCCCUGCUCAGACCAUCAGUCUCCCUGCCAGUACUGUCCCCUGCUCAGACCAUCAGUCUCCCUGCCAGUACUGUCCCCUGCUCAGACCAUCAGUCUCCCUGCCAGUACUGUCCCCUGCUCAGACCGUCAGUCUCCCUGCCAGUACUGUCCCCUGCUCAGACCAUCAGUCUGCCUGCCAGUACUGUCCCCUGCUCAGACCGUCAGUCUCCCUGCCAGUACUGCCCCCUGCUCAGACCGUCAGUCUGCCUGCCAGUACUGUCCCCUGCUCAGACCGUCAGUCUCCCUGCCAGUACUGUCCCCUGCUCAGACCGUCAGUCUGCCUGCCAGUACUGUCCCCUGCUCAGACCGUCAGUCUGCCUGCCAGUACUGUCCCCUGCUCAGACCAUCAGUCUCCCUGCCAGUACUGUCCCCUGCUCAGACCAUCAGUCUGCCUGCCAGUACUGUCCCCUGCUCAGACCAUCAGUCUGCCAGUACUGUCCCCUGCUCAGACCAUCAGUCUCCCUGCCAGUACUGUCCCCUGCUCAGACCAUCAGUCUGCCUGCCAGUACUGUCCCCUGCUCAGACCAUCAGUCUGCCAGUACUGUCCCCUGCUCAGACCAUCAGUCUCCCUGCCAGUACUGUCCCCUGCUCAGACCAUCAGUCUGCCAGUACUGUCCCCUGCUCAGACCAUCAGUCUCCCUGCCAGUACUGUCCCCUGCUCAGACCAUCAGUCUCCCUACCAGCACUGCCCUCUGCUCAGACUGUCAGUCUGCCUGCCAGUACUGCACCCUGCUCAGACCGUCAGUCUGCCGGGCCAGUGUACCAACCUCAAAUGGACGGAGUGUGUAGAGACUGACGACAGUGUUAAGUGCAUAGCAGUCCUGGGUUCAAAAUAGUAGGCCUACUUGUUUUUCUUUCAAAUAAUUUAGCACACUGGGGUCAAUGGAGUAGUCCCAAAAGUGUAAGCCCCGACCAUCUGGCACUAUGUGUCAAAUAGGGGGUAUGUCAGCUAAGAGGGUAGGUCAAAAGUUUGGGAGGGGGGUGGAAUGAGUGUUUGCGGUUGAAGCAAUAGCGUCCAGUAGCAUAGUGGUCGGUUGGCUCAUUACAGUUUUUCUCAAUUGUUUACACACAAAUACUGGUACUUGAGACACAAUGACCACAACAUGUAACUCAUGCACCAACCCCCUGAACCAAUUCUGCUAAACUACAAGCACAAUUCCUGCUUUACACUCAAAUUGCAGUUCUAAAACACACUUUUUUCAAAACACUACACGCAAUUCUUUGCAUUUGGCACAAUUUUCAUGCAGAAAAUCUCUUGUUUUCACAAUGAACACACUGCCAUUCAAAUAUGCACACUGACUCAUCACAUGGGCAAACACCCGUCACACAGUUUUACAAUUAGCAAUCAGAGCUUUAGCAUAAACGGGCAACAGGUGAGCUCUUCUGUUUUGGAGCAAUGGAUGCCAACAUUGGAAACAGAGGCAGAGCCAGAGGAGUGAGAGUAAGAGGAGGAGGACGGGGAGGACGAGGACGAGGAAGGCCAAGGACCGUAAUCUCUGAUGAGAUCUGAUCCACUUUGGUUGAUCAUGUGGUCAACCAUGGUCUAUCAAUGAGGGAGGCUGGGCAAAGAGUACAGCCAAAUUUGAGCAGGUACACUGUAGCAUCCAUCAUCCGGACAUCCGAAAUGAGAAUAGAACUGAAAGAUUACCAACACAAGGUGGUCGGGAACGUGUUCUGUCUCCUGAACAGGAAACUGAAAUCAUGAACAUGGUCCUAGAAAAUAACGCCAUAACAUUACGGCAAAUACAAAGAAAAAUAAUAGAAAACAAUGAGAUAUUUCAAAAUAUUGAUAGGGUAAGCUUAUCAACACUGGACCGUGUCUUGCGCAGAAAUAAUCUCAGGAUGAAGCAGGUCUACAGGGUGCCAUUUCAACGCAAUUCAGAAAGAGUCAAAGAAUUGCGAUAUAACUAUGUGCAAAGAGUCCUUGAGCUAGAGGUGGCUGCAGUGGAGCACCAGUUCAUCUUCAUUGAUGAGGUUGGAUUCAACCUCACAAAAAGACGAAAGAGGGGAAGGAAUAUCAUCGGCCAGCGUGCCAUUGUUCAAGUCCCUGGCCAACGCAGAGGGAACAUCACAAUGUGUGCAGCCAUUACCCACCACGGCGUCAUCCAUCACCAUGCUACCCUUGGCCCCUACAACACCGCCCAUCUGAUCACAUUCCUGGACACCCUACACAACACACUCAUUCCACCAGAUCAGGUAGAUGGCCCAGAGCAGCUCAGGCACGUUGUCAUUUGGGACAAGUCCUAUUGAGGAAUUAUUUUCUGCCUGGAGAUGGAAAGUGUAUGACCGAAAUCCACCAACGCGUAUACCUCUUCUCCAAGCUAUGGAAGACGCAUGUGGAGAUAUAGCAGCUGAUGCUUUUCAUGGCUGGAAUCGCCAUGCUAGGCCAUAUUUCCCCCGCUGCUUGGCCAGGGAAAACAUUGCUUGUGAUGUGGAUGAGGUGCUGUGGCCAGACCGCAACAGAACAGAGGAUGCAGCAUAGUUUUUUUAGUUUUUUAUUACUGUAACUGUAUACAUUAAAUUCUUCUGUUUUGUAUGUAGACCACUGUAUGUGCAACUUUGUGUUGGUUGGGAUUGGGAUGUACACUGUGUACAUUGUUUUUGUGGGAAAAAUAAAAUAUAUUUGUU
rnacentral:lncRNA from 1 species